rnacentral:rRNA from 1 species
GUGCUUAACACAUGCAAGUCGAGCGUAAGGCCCUUCGGGGUACACGAGCGGCGAACGGGUGAGUAACACGUGAGCAAUCUGCCCUGCACAUCGGGAUAACCCCCGGAAACGGGAGCUAAUACCGGAUACGACCACUUCAGGCAUCUGAUGGUGGUGGAAAGUUCCGGCGGUGCAGGAUGAGCUCGCGGCCUAUCAGCUUGUUGGUGGGGUAAUGGCCCACCAAGGCUUCGACGGGUAGCCGGCCUGAGAGGGUGACCGGCCACACUGGGACUGAGACACGGCCCAGACUCCUACGGGAGGCAGCAGUGGGGAAUAUUGGACAAUGGGCGAAAGCCUGAUCCAGCAACGCCGCGUGAGGGAUGACGGCCUUCGGGUUGUAAACCUCUUUCAGCAGGGACGAAGCGCAAGUGACU